CAGCUCAGUUGGUAGAGCAUGAGACUCCUAAUCUCAUGGUCCCCGGUUGCUGCAACUGCUCCGUAGAAAAGA